CGCCUUUUGAAUAAAAAUAAGAGGUCCAGCCUGCCCAGUGACUAAUGUUCAACGGCCGCGGUAUCCUAACCGUGCGAAGGUAGCGUAAUCACUUGUUCUUUAAAUGAGGACUAGUAUGAAUGGCACCACGAGGGUUAUACUGUCUCCUUUCUCUAAUCAGUGAAACUAAUUUCCCCGUGAAGAAGCGAGGAUAUAACUAUAAGACGAGAAGACCCUAUGGAGCUUUAAAUUUCUCUUCAAACGCCAGACCCCCUCAACAGUCAUAGACUAACUACAUCUACAUCAGCGCUAUGAAGACGACUUUUAGGUUGGGGUGACCGCGGAGUACAAAAAAACCUCCACGCUGAAUCAGACUCUAAACCUUGAGCAAAGGGCCACAACCCAAAGCACUAAAAAAUUAACAUCAAUUGACCCAAUAUUCUAUUGAUCAACGAACCAAGUUACCCUAGGGAUAACAGCGCAAUCUACUUCAAGAGUUCCUAUCGACAAGUGGGUUUACGACCUCGAUGUUGGAUCAGGGUAUCCCAGGUGGUGCAGC
rnacentral:rRNA from 1 species